AUUGAACGCUGGCGGCAGGCCUAACACAUGCAAGUCGAGCGGAGCGGCUGACGGGUGAGUAAUGCCUAGGAAUCUGCCUGGUCUUGUGGGAUAACGUCCGGAAACGGGCGCUAAUCCCGCAUCCUAUCAGAUUAGCCUAGGUCGGAUUGGCUAGUUGGUGGGGUAAAGGCCUACCAAGGCGACGAUCCGUAACUGGUCUGAGAGGAUGAUCAGUCACACGGGAACUGAGAAACGGUCCAGACUCCUACGGGAGGCAGAAGUGGGGAAUAUUGGACAAUGGGCGAAAGCCUGACCCAGCAAUGCGGCGUGUGGGAAGAAGGUCUUCGGAUGGUAAAGCACUUUAAGUUGGGAGGCGUUACCAACAGAAUAAGCACCGGCUAACUUCGUGCCAGCAGCCGCGGUAAUAC
rnacentral:rRNA from 1 species